GGGGUUCGUGUUUUGGUGAUUUGGCUCCGAUCAACCUGUAGAGAAAAUAAUGGUGAUCACGGUGAUAUAAAAAUUGUAUCAAACGGAGGCCGAAAAGGGCCUCAUCGGAGGCAAAAAUCGAGGAGGGGUGCGGCGGCGCCGCUGGGUUUCGGCCGUUUGGCCGGGAUUUUGGCUCCGAUUUGGCCACAGGAGAACUCAGCAUUGAAAAAUGAGCCGGGGAUAUGAAAUUUACCUCGAUCGGCGGUCGGAAAACUCCC
rnacentral:lncRNA from 1 species